GNAGUGCUGUCACUCCAACCAUGUGACCAUACCAAACUGUUGCCUCGGCGGGGUCACGCCCCGGGUGCGUCGCAGCCCCGGAACCAGGCGCCCGCCGGAGGGACCAACCAAACUCUUUUCUGUAGUCCCCUCGCGGACGUUAUUUCUUACAGCUCUGAGCAAAAAUUCAAAAUGAAUCAAAACUUUCAACAACGGAUCUCUUGGUUCUGGCAUCGAUGAAGAACGCAGCGAAAUGCGAUAAGUAAUGUGAAUUGCAGAAUUCAGUGAAUCAUCGAAUCUUUGAACGCACAUUGCGCCCGCCAGUAUUCUGGCGGGCAUGCCUGUCCGAGCGUCAUUUCAACCCUCGAACCCCUCCGGGGGGUCGGCGUUGGGGACCUCGGGAGCCCCUAAGACGGGAUCCCGGCCCCGAAAUACAGUGGCGGUCUCGCCGCAGCCUCUCCUGCGCAGUAGUUUGCACAACUCGCACCGGAAGCGCGGCGCGCCCACCUCCGAAAAACACCCAACUUCAGAAAUGUCGACCUCGGAUCAGGUAGGAAGCCCGCUGAACUUACGAUAUCAAUACGCGGAUGAAUAGAAUUGGGGGGUUGACCUUGACUUAUGAGGACACCCGAGUUAUUUAUGAUUGCAAUUAGGUAAGUACGUUCUUAGAGGAUUCUCUGUUA
rnacentral:rRNA from 1 species